UACGGAGGGUGCAAGCGUUAUCCGGAUUCACUGGGUUUAAAGGGUGCGUAGGCGGGCAGGUAAGUCAGUGGUGAAAUCUCCGAGCUUAACUCGGAAACUGCCGUUGAUACUAUUUGUCUUGAAUACUGUGGAGGUAAGCGGAAUAUGUCAUGUAGCGGUGAAAUGCUUAGAUAUGACAUAGAACACCAAUUGCGAAGGCAGCUUACUACACAGCGAUUGACGCUGAGGCACGAAAGCGUGGGGAUCAAACAGG
rnacentral:rRNA from 1 species